GAUGAACGCUGGCGGAAUGCUUUACACAUGCAAGUCGAGCGGCAGCGCGGGGCAACCUGGCGGCGAGCGGCGAACGGGUGAGUAAUGCAUCGGAACAUGUCCAUGUCGUGGGGGAUAGCCCGGCGAAAGCCGGAUUAAUACCGCAUACGCCCGAGAGGGGAAAGCAGGGGACCGCAAGGCCUUGCGCGAUUGGGUUGGCCGAUGUCCGAUUAGCUAGUUGGCGGGGUAAAGGCCCACCAAGGCGAUGAGCGGUAGCUGGUCUGAGAGGAUGAUCAGCCACACUGGGACUAGGACACGGCCCGAACUCCUGCGGGAGGCAGCAGUGGGGAAUUUUGGACAAUGGGGGAAACCCUGAUCCAGCCAUUCCGCGUGAGUGAAGAAGGCCUUCGGGUUGUAAAGCUCUUUUGUCCGGAACGAAACGGUUGCGGUGAAUAUCCGCGACUACUGACGGUACCGGAAGAAUAAGCACCGGCUAACUACGUGCCAGCCGCCGCCGUAACAC
rnacentral:rRNA from 1 species